CCUACGGGUGGCAGCAGUGAGGAAUAUUGGUCAAUGGACGAGAGUCUGAACCAGCCAAGUAGCGUGAAGGAUGACUGCCCUAUGGGUUGUAAACUUCUUUUAUAUGGGAAUAAAAUGUGCCACGUGUGGGAUUUUGUAUGUACCAUAUGAAUAAGGAUCGGCUAACUCCGUGCCAGCAGCCGCGGUAAUACGGAGGAUCCGAGCGUUCUCCGGAUUUAUUGGGUUUACAGGGAGCGUAGGUGGGUUGUUAAGUAAGUUGUGAAAGUUUGCGGCUCAACCGUAAAAUUGCAGUUGAAACUGGCAGUCUUUAGUACAGUAGAGGUGGGCCGCCUUCGUGGUGUAGCGGUGACAUGCUUAGAUAUCACGCAGAACUCCGAUUGCGAAGGCAGUUCACUAGACUGCCACUGACACUGCUGCUCGAAAGUGUGGGUAUCAAACCGGAUUCGAUACCCGGGUAGUC
rnacentral:rRNA from 1 species